rnacentral:tRNA from 1 species
AGCUCAUUGGUAGAGCGCAUGCCUAGCAAGCAUGAAGCCCUAGGUUUGAAACCUAG